GGGUUGUGAGGUUAAGCGACUAAGCGUACACGGUGGAUGCCCUGGCAGUCAGAGGCGAUGAAGGACGUGCUAAUCUGCGAUAAGCGUCGGUAAGGUGAUAUGAACCGUUAUAACCGGCGAUUUCCGAAUGGGGAAACCCAGUGUGUUUCGACACACUAUCAUUAACUGAAUCCAUAGGUUAAUGAGGCGAACCGGGGGAACUGAAACAUCUAAGUACCCCGAGGAAAAGAAAUCAACCGAGAUUCCCCCAGUAGCGGCGAGCGAACGGGGAGCAGCCCAGAGCCUUAAUCAGUGUGUGUGUUAGUGGAAGCGUCUGGAAAGGCGCGCGAUACAGGGUGACAGCCCCGUACACAAAAAUG
rnacentral:rRNA from 1 species